GCCAUGAUAGCUCAGUUAGGAGAGCGCAUGACUGAAGAUCAUGAGGUCCCGUGAGCGAAACACGGUCGUGGCA